CUUCCUGUAGCUCAGCGGUAGAGCUCUUCUGCAUGUGGUGAGUGAAAGUGACUAACAAUAACUGCAGGAGGUCGCAGGUGAAUCCUGCCCGGUGGC